rnacentral:rRNA from 1 species
CUGAACGCCUCUAAGUCAGAAUCCGUGCUAGAAACGAUGAUGUUGGUGUCGCACAUUAGACUUGUGUUUAAUAGAGCUUUGCUCGUGAACCAAAUAUGGUGGGCUGGGUUGUCUUUGCGGAAACGCUUGGGCGACUUGUCUACGAAUUGUAAUCAUAAUAUGGGCGGCGGUGAAUCCUUUGCAGACGACUUGAAUGGGAACGGGGUACUGUAAGUGGUAGAGUAGCCUUGUUGCUACGAUCCACUGAGGUUAAGCCCUUGUUCUAAAGAUUUGUUCA